CAUACUUCACAUAUGUAUUUAUUUACUAAGGCUGGCAUACAAUGUACCAUAAACUCGAUGGCUUAAGAUGGCAGAAAUAUAUUUAUUCUCCAACAGUCCUGCAGACAAGAAGGCUGAAAUCAAGGUGUUGGCAUGGUUGCGUUUUCUGAAAGGCUCUAAGACAAAAUCUGUUCCAUGUAUUUCUUUUAGCUUCUGACAGUCACAUGCUGAGAUACUAGAUGUUACUACUUCAACAUACUUCUUUGGGAGACUCAAUUCAACCCAUAACAACAUGCGAUGAUUAUGUCACAGUACUCUUCAAAUUGGUAGAAUAAUAAAAUAGAAUAUCCAAAGCAGGAAAUAGCUGCAGAAGAAACAGCUGUCCUGUAAAUCAGGCAAUAUUGGGUGUUUAGUGCAUUAUAAAAAUGAAUAGAGACAGAUGACCCAAUUUAGGAGUGUUCUGGUGAAUGGCAGAUAUUUAUUUCAAAUCUAAAAACUUGCAGCUUUAAAAUUUAAUAUUAAUCAAAAGCUUACAGAAGUAGAAAUAAGCUAAUAAUUUCAAAAUGAAAUAUUUAAUAUAUUGAAUAUACUAUUCAGAAUUCUACUGAAAUAGAAGGGUUUUAAGUAAACUCUCAAUUACGUUGCAAUUGCUAAAAGUACACAUACUUAUUCCUCUGUGCAUUCUGAGGUGGCUACUGUAUGCAGCGGAUUUAAAAAUCAUCAAAAUCUGUACUAGUUGCCCAGGGUGGCUAUAAUAAUCUACCACAACUUGAGUUCUUUAGUGUAACAUAAAUGUGUUCUCCCACAACUUUGAAGUCUAGAAGUUUAAUACCAGGGUGUCAGCUGGGCCAGGCUUCUUCUGAGACUCUUAGCAGAUUCUUUGGCUCGUCCUAGCUUCUGGUUGUGGUCUUCAGUCUUCGGUGUUCCUUGGCUUGCAACGGCAUCACUCUAAUCUCUGCUUCUGUCGCUGCAUGGCCUUCUCCCUGGGUGUCUAUGGAUCUUCCCAGGGAACAGGCGGUCAUCACAGGAGGGUCCUGGCUCAUCUCCAGCAUGUGGUAUAAGCUUGGCCUCUAGUUCCAGAAGAGACAAGCAACAGAUGAACACGAGGAAGUCAGCGUCCUUAGGUAAUGGACGACAAGGGUGGCUGUCGAGUGAUGCCCAGGAGCAGAGAAAGAAGACAGGAAUCCUGUUAGAAGUAUGUUGGUUUUUCUCUUCCUUUCCUCUGUAUUCCACAGCCACAUGCUCCCUAAAGAGUUAGGUAACUUCAUAUUCUGCCACAUGUGAGGCAAGCUCUCCAGUGAAAGCCAGCCGCUCCUACAUCUUUCCUCAGCAUCUUUC
rnacentral:lncRNA from 10 species